GCGGAGCUGGGCCGCUGGCUCCGGACCGAGCUGGAGCUGCCCCCCAGCGCCCUCCCCUCCGAGCCCGAGCUGCGCAGGCUGUGCACGGGGCCCUGUGCCCCCAUCCGGGAGUACAUCAUGGGCCACGUGCGGCACCCGCGGAACGUGAAGAAGAUCAAAGGGAACCUGCUGUGGUAUCCGCU